GUGAAUUAAACAUGCUUGGUGUCUUCGCUUCGGUAAGGCCCUUGCUUAAAUCACAUCCUAACACCUGUGAACUGUAAGACGUAUGAUGAGGUCUUUGGCCAAGUCAUCGUCUGCCCAUUUUUAACAAACAAUUAAUGUAACAAACGUAGUCUUAUUAUAACCUAAU
rnacentral:misc_RNA from 1 species